rnacentral:misc_RNA from 1 species
GACUGCAACACAAAAGAAGAUCAACAAGUGAGAGACAAGGAGAGAGAGAUGUCGAACACCAGUGAUUAUACUUCAAAAGAGAGUCUUACGAAUUUGUUCAAGGAGAUUUCUGUCGAUGAACAAGAACAAGAGAUAGCAAUACUCUCUAUCCUACUUGAAGGAAUUUCAGUUGAGAAACUCUCAGAUGAAGAACCUGAUGUGGAUUACAGGAUUCGAUCCUUUUCUGAGCUAUUCGACAAGCUUCCUUCUGAUUCUAUUUAUCCAACGGCUUUCUUCAACACUCAUCAUAUCCCUACUAAGUGGCUAAGAGCCGGCGGCAGAGUGCGAACUUUUCAACUUGUUGCAGGAGGAAAACCUGGAGCAUUAAUUCGACCAAAGCAAAGCAAGUCUUAAUUAUUUUUAUCUUUGCCAGAUCUGAUGACUUGGGUUUAAACUUAAAACUUUAUACUUCUAGAGAUGAUUUAAAUGUUUUUUAUAUGGUUGAUUAUGUGUAUUAUCGUUAAGUAGUAGAUUAUGGGCUUGCUAUUUUCAGUUAGCCAGUCAUGUAAUAAUAUCUAUUUGCCAAAUCAAAACACAUAAUAAAAGGAUGUAUGAUAGUAUUAACUAGAAGAUUAUAUUUGCUAUGUCUACCCUGGACUAGGACUUAGUUUGGGUAGAACUACAUGUUAAUUAAUGUUUUUUAUUCAAUAAUUUUUAUCCUAA